UGGGCUUGACAGCCGCGUCUGCGGUUGUAUGACAAGCCCGCCCGCGGCCGAGUGUACA
rnacentral:snoRNA from 1 species